rnacentral:rRNA from 1 species
GACGAACGCUGGCGGCGUGCCUAAUACAUGCAAGUCGAACGCUGAAGGAGGAGCUUGCUUCUCUGGACGAGUUGCGAACGGGUGAGUAACGCGUAGGUAACCUGCCUGGUAGCGGGGGAUAACUAUUGGAAACGAUAGCUAAUACCGCAUAAUAGUAGAUGUUGCAUGACAUUUGCUUAAAAGGUGCAAUUGCAUCACUACUAGAUGGACCUGCGUUGUAUUAGCUAGUUGGUGGGGUAACGGCUCACCAAGGCGACGAUACAGAGCCGACCUGGGAGGGGGAUCGGCCACACUGGGAAUGGGACACGGCCCAGGCUCCUACGGGAAGCAGCAGUAGGGAAACUUCGGCAAAGGACGGAAGGCUGACCGAAGAACGCCGCGUGGGUGAAGAAGGGUUUCGGAUCGUAAAGCUCUGUUGUAAGAGAAGAACGAGUGUGAGAGUGGAAAGUUCACACUGUGACGGUAUCUUAUCAGAAAGGGACGGCUAACUACGUG